AUGAACCCUAACCCUAGUAGCUCCCCACGCCUCCGCCGUCUCCUUCGCCCAGCCCGCCUCCCUGCCCCGCCGCCGUCGAGGUCCAGCCCCCGCGGUCUUCCUCCUCGGCCUGCUCGUGGGUGCCGCGGUGCUCGUGGAGGCGCUGCAGAUCCCCGCCGACCGGGCAACGCUGGCGCUCGGGGCGCUGCGCUCGCCGCCGUGCUCCCCGGCGACGAUGACGAACCUGCAACGGACGGAGCUGGGCGCCUCCCCACGGUCUUCCUCCUCGGCCUGCUCGUGGGUGCCGCGGUGCUUGCGGAGGCACUGCAGAUCCCCGCCGACCAGGCAACGCUGGCGCUCGGGGCGCUCGCCGCCGUGCUCCCCGGCGACGACGACGACCCCGCAACGGACGGAGCUAGGCGCCUCCCCGCCCCCAUCUGUCUACUCCGUGCAGCUACGCCCAUCCUGGAGGCCGACAUGCCCUCUCCGUCCGAAAUCCCCUUGCCCUGGCCCUGCUCGCUACAUGGUGCUGAACAUUCAACCAAGGAGGGGUGGUGCCUCUUCUCCGGCCUGUGCAUACCAUCCCCAACGCCAACAUCAAAGAGGGAUGAUGUGAAGGGGGCGGCGGCCCGCUGGAACUGGAGGACCAGCACCGAGGGCCUGCCGCGCGGGAUCGUCGAGACGAGCUCCGACAUGUUCCUCCGCCCGCUCUGGGACUCUACCGCCAAGCACACCAACACCAAGGGCAGGGCAGACAACAUGUGCCGUCAACCGUUGAGAGUUCAGCUGUCACCAAAUGAGCAGCUUGCUGUUGAAGAAACCUUCAAGUUGUACUUGAUGUUUCAAUCUUAUAAUUGCAGGUGUAUUCACCUCAUCAUACCAUCGGUUCUAAUCAAGGCCACAGUCACUACCCGGAAGGAGAUGUCGGGGUUGUUAUUGACUGGGAGGAGGCAAGGAGCAGGAGGCAGCAUGGGAGGCAGCAGGAGAGCUUGUAGAUGGUGCCUCGCCAGUUGGACGGCGUUCAGGCGCAACCCCGACACGCACUGA
rnacentral:rRNA from 1 species